rnacentral:rRNA from 1 species
UACGUAGGGGGCAAGCGUUGUCCGGAAUUAUUGGGCGUAAAGCGCGCGCAGGCGGUCAUUUAAGUCUGGUGUUUAAGCCCGGGGCUCAACCCCGGUUCGCAUCGGAAACUGGAUGACUUGAGUGUAGGAGAGGAAAGUGGAAUUCCACGUGUAGCGGUGAAAUGCGUAGAGAUGUGGAGGAACACCAGUGGCGAAGGCGACUUUCUGGCCUAUAACUGACGCUGAGG